GAAACAAAUAAAGAAAAAUGGGGAGGUAAUUAAAGUAGUAGAGGCUCCAUGAAAGUUAGACCUUUAUAUAAAUCCCAUCUUCAUGAUUUUGGGGUAACACGAAAUUUUUUAAAAAAUUAAUAAAAUUUUGCAGCUUUUAUUGAUUUCGUUGCUGGUCUCAUUUCGAAAGGGUAGAAAAUCUCCAGUUGCCUGGGUACCACUACCAGCGCAGGAGAAACUAGAAAGGAUAGAAAAUCUUCAGAUCGAAGCGACAGAGAAGCAAUAAACGUGCGGCAUGAGAGCCAUGCCGCGAAGAGAUGACCGAGAUUCCGAGCGGGCGAGACGAUAGAAAAUUGGUGAAAGGAAAAAGGUCGGUGAAAAAAUUGGAAUCCUUGAAUUAGUCAACAAUCUACGAACCCCCAACUUGCGCGUUCGGUGAGAGAGAGAGAGGCAGGGGGAGGAGUUAGAGUGAUAGAUGGUUUUUUAUUUCGGUCAGAGGAAAAUCCAGAGGACUGCAGAUUAGGAAAUUGGGGAUUCCCGAAAAAGCAACAGGCAGAACCGGGUAAAACCCUCUUGUGAGAAUUUGUGUACAUGAGGAAAGUUACGCCAAAGGUGGAUGUAUUCAGCUUUGGUAUGAUAGUGAUAGAGUUCUUAACUAAACGGAGGCCAACGGGGCUAAUCCAAGAUGAUGGUUUGCCAAUUACUCUGCAUCAACUGGUGGAGGAAACCCUUCGGUGUGGAAUGAAUCGACUUAUUGAAAUUGUAGAUGUGGAUCUCGCUUCAAACAUUUCCGAUGAGAAGCAUGCCAAAAUAAUUGAAAAACUCUUUGAACUAGCAUUGUCAUGCACCUGUCAAGAGCCUAAGGAUCGACCACGUAUGUGUGAAGUAUUAUCUUUCUUAUCGAUGCUAAAAGCUGCAUGUAGUGGUGUGAGAUGGGACCAAAGCCAUGAAACAAUAAGCUAGCAUUCUAGUAACACAGAGAAGAUAGAAAACUCACUAUUGAAUUUGUUGUUGCUCAUCCUUUUUGGGCUGGGCUAUUGAAUGUUUAUGCAAGAGGCAUGCUUUAUUUAUACUACAAUUUAACCUCAUGAUUUAACA